ACAGUGUCCAAAAGGAAUCCAUCCCCUUCAGUAAAUGGAACAGGUGCUUGGAUAUCUGAAAAGAAGACAAGAGGAACAUGGUCAAUAGUUCUGGCAGGAGAACACAGUUGAUCAAUAACAUGAGAACCUGUAUGGAAUCUGGGCUGGAGUCCAAUAACUUGCAGUGAUCUGGAAUGAACCUCCCAGACAAUGGAAUACGGUACUCACACGAGGAGCAAUAUGAGUCCACACAAUGAAGUAGCAAAUGUCCCUUCCAGUGAUGCGGAGUUGACCUUGGACCUGGUGGUAGUAAGGAUGGUCUUCAUGGAGGAGACAACAACUGAUCGGAGGACCCCUUUUUAGCAGCGACGGAGUAACACGCUUGGCCCUAACCACUGCUCCAUAAUUGCUAGCCGUCAACCUCCCUCUCAUAUUGUGCCAGUUGGGUUUGAUGCGCUGUCCAACUUGCCUGCCGUAUAGCCUCCUGCUGCUCCACCGACAGCAAACAAGCCAGGCAGGAUGUCUGUAUGCCCCAGGUGCGCUUGUUUUUAACAAUGCCGGUACAGACAGGGAUGACAGGGAGGGUAGUGGUUGUUCUGGCACAGGUUCAAGGAGACAUGCCAUUCCACUGAACGGAGAUAGAGGGUUGUAGUCUUCAGCCAAAUAUAGGUCCUCCAUUGACUGCACCUGGUUGGGCCACGGCUGACUUCCUCCAAUCACAUUCCACAUCCGUACGGACGAUAUUGUGAACUGCCAAAAUAGGUUGCAUGGCUACACUGAUGAGCUCCAUGGAGGGAUUUGCAUGUGGCAGAGAGAAUCCCCUGGUCACCUAUAGAGACCUGCCGAGAGGAAGGUUGUUACGUGACACAUGCCUUUCAAUGCUUGACUUUGAAGACCUUGAAAUGCAUUUGUUGAAAUAAAUGUGCUAUAUAA